rnacentral:rRNA from 1 species
CAGAGAUUUCCGAAUGGGGGAACCCACUAUCUUUAGUCGGAUAGUAUCCUUACGUGAAUACAUAGCGUGAGGAAGGCAGACCCAGGGAACUGAAACAUCUAAGUACCUGGAGGAAGAGAAAGAAAAAUCGAUUUCCUGAGUAGCGGCGAGCGAAACGGAAAGAGCCCAAACCAAGAAGCUUGCUUCUUGGGGUUGUAGGACACUCUAUACGGAGUUACAAAAGAAAGUUAUAAAUGAAGCGGUCUGGAAAGGCCCGCCAAAGACGGUAACAGC